rnacentral:tRNA from 1 species
ACCUGAGUGGCUUAGUCGGUUAAGCAACUUGAUUUCGGCUCAGGUCGUGAUUCCAAGGUCAUGGGAUCGAGCCCCACAUCAGGUU